CACAGCUAUCAGCGGGGUCUCUAUAACAGGCCAAUCCAGAUCAAGGGGAACAAAUGAAAGCAUAAAGUUCUUAUAUUUAUCACCUAUAUAUCGUCUGUUUAGAUGUGGACUGCUUUUGAGAUUUAGAAGGCUGAUUGGGAUUGUUUACAUAGUAAUUCAAUAAUGUAAACGCACAUCCCAAUCAGCCUUCUAAAGCUCAA
rnacentral:misc_RNA from 1 species